rnacentral:rRNA from 1 species
UGGCCAUACCAUGCUGAAUAUACCGGUUCUCGUUAGAUCACCGAAGUCAAGCAUCAUUGGGCGCGGUCAGUACUUGGGUGGGUGAUCACCUGGGAACGCCGUGUGC